rnacentral:rRNA from 1 species
UACGUAGGGUGCAAGCGUUAAUCGGAAUUACUGGGCGUAAAGCGUGCGCAGGUGGUGGUGCAAGACAGAUGUGAAAGCCCCGGGCUCAACUUGGGAAUUGCAUUUGUGACUGCACUGCUAGAGUGCGGCAGAGGGGAAUGGAAUUCCGCGUGUAGCAGUGAAAUGCGUAGAUAUGCGGAGGAACACCGAUGGCGAAGGCAGUUCCCUGGGCCUGCACUGACGCUCAUGCACGAAAGCGUGGGGAGCAAACAGG